GCGAGAGGGUGCAGGGCCAGGGCUGACGGAUGCCUAUGCCCUCCUUCCACACGCACAGGAGGACCUUGGGACCUGUGAGGAACAGCAGAGAUGGUUGGAACAGGCAGAGGGAGGACAUGAGGCCAUCACUGUGAACCUCCAGCCAGGACUCACUGAAUCCUGCCCAGCUCACCAGGGUGGGAGCAUCCAGAGAGCCUCAGGAGGAGGCCAAGCCUGGGGCCAGGGGCCGCCCAGUCCCUUCAGCUGCCCUGGAUGGACUUAGCCUGCCAGCUGACCAUGUGGCCACAGCUCAUGACUGAGGGACACUUGCUGACCACUGACCCAGAGUUCACCAAGCUCCCUGCUCUGGUCUUCGACCCUGAGAGGUGGGCCCUGCUCCCCACAGUAGGAUCUCAGGGCCGUGGGGGUAACCACAGCAGCAGCCCUGGUGACUGGACCUCUCCCAGGGGCCCCAGGUCAGGGACAGGUCCUGUUCUCUGGAGAGAAGUAGCCCUGCUCAGCCGGGCCUUGGGGGUAGGGAGUUCUCUGUGCACCUUGAGGGCACAGGCCAUUUGGAAGCCCUCUGUGUGGGAUGAGGCCCCUCUUCCCCUCACAUGGGGGUCCACCAUUUGUUUGCAAUGGGGUGUGCCUGUGGGUUUCAUUCUGCACUUUGGGUUCAGAUCUGGCCUGCGCUGUGGUGAGGCUCUAAUCUGGCCAGCAUGGGCCACUGGGAGCUCUUCCACCAGCUCCAGUGCCCUGGGACGUCUCACAUCAUUGUGGGGUGUUGUGGGUUUUUAUUUUUAGCACCUCAGCACUGUAGGGUGUUAAACACCAAGAUCUUGCGCCAGGGGCACUUGUGGUGACGGGGUGCUGCUGCUGCUAGGCCGUCCCAGCUGACAGAGAGGAGAGACAGUGCCAGCGAGUGCUGACCUGCACCCACACGCAGGUCGUCUCCACGAGGACCCGGUGUCUGUAUUAAGCCGCCCCAUGCUCCAGUCCCUGAUGCUCAUCUGCACCUCCGUGGUCCCUGAAGGUUUGCACUCAGGAGCCGGAAGGCACAGGAGCCCCAGGGGGCGUCCCUGCCGAGGGGGAGCAGGAGGGCCUGGCCCCUCCCUCCCUGUGUGCAGAUGGUCCUGCUCUCCACCGUCCACCGCGCAGACUCUGGCUUUCUGUUGGUGCAGGGUUAGUAGGGACUGUUCUUAGAAUUUUGAACUUUGGACUUUUCCCAGACGGGUGACAUGGGUACCGUCCUCCCUCACCACACUGGGGGCAGCAGCUCCUGGCCAGCAAGAGGGGAGCCACCACCCUCUAUAGAGCACAGGGUCUCUGAGCCAUGAUGCCCUCUGUUUUCGUUCCUCACUGUUGCCUCCCCUCAAUCUCACUCAGGUGGACUCACACGGCCGGUGGCUGUGGAGCCUCAGAGCACGGAGCGCGUGCAUGCCCACUUGGCAGGGGCCACGGCUUGCCCCUUUGUCUUCAGAGCGCCUUUUGACCACAUACACGCACCCGAGUUGGUCUAUCCACGCACCCUAGAUCGGGUGGCAGUUUCCAGUUUGAGGUGUUCGUGAAUAAAAUUGCCACAAUAAUUUGCAAAUAGUUUUCGUGAGCACACAAGCUUUCAGUUCAAUUAGGUGGCCGUCAAAGAACGUUUUGGGUCACGUGACACCAGCAAGCUGAACUUCUGGAAAAACUGCCGGCCUGUCUUCCGAGGUGGCACAGUCGCCCCUGUCGUAACCCAGGCCGUUGGGCGGGGACGGGUG
rnacentral:lncRNA from 1 species